rnacentral:rRNA from 1 species
GACGAACGCUGGCGGCGUGCUUAACACAUGCGAGUCGAACGGAAAGGCCCUGCUUUUGUGGGGUGCUCGAGUGGCGAACGGGUGAGUAACACGUGAGUAACCUGCCCUUGACUUUGGGAUAACUUCAGGAAACUGGGGCUAAUACCGGAUAGGAGCUCCUGCUGCAUGGUGGGGGUUGGAAAGUUUCGGCGGUUGGGGAUGGACUCGCGGCUUAUCAGCUUGUUGGUGGGGUAGUGGCUUACCAAGGCUUUGACGGGUAGCCGGCCUGAGAGGGUGACCGGCCACAUUGGGACUGAGAUACGGCCCAGACUCCUACGGGAGGCAGCAGUGGGGAAAAUUGCACAAUGGGCGGAAGCCUGAUGCAGCAACGCCGCGUGCGGGAUGACGGCCUUCGGGUUGUAAACCGCUUUCGCCUGUGACGAAGCGUGAGUGACGGUAAUGGGUAAAGAAGCACCGGCUAACUACGUG